CUAGCUAGCCAUUUCACAUCCGUUACACCUGAACAUACAAAAAGUAGUUCAAAUAAUAUUCUAUUUGAUACUUUUAUUACAGUACAUUUUGUAGGUCCAUUUUCGGUGGAGGCUCGACCGUUUUAUAUAACGGAUCUCGUAUCUUUGACCCCGACAUGACGAAAAGGUAGGCAGAGUCAGGGGCUGGAUUUAGGUUCUCUCUUAUUGUGGUGGCUUUAUGUAUUUUUCCCGUGUUUAUGCCGGUUUUUUGUGUUUAAUUGUCCGUAUAAGACUGCAUGGAAUUAAGUAUGAGCUAUCCUGAAAUAUUUUAUUGACAACAUUCCAUCUUGUUUGAUUUAAUAAUUGUGCUAUGGUAAACAUGGAAGAUUAAAACCUGAACAUAAAUACGCCUGUUGUCAAAUAAUAACAUGCCUGCAUUUUGAAAGGAAGAGGUAGGAAGACUGAUUGAUUGAAGAAAUAGGUAGAAAGAGCUCAGCAUGCAAUAAUUGGCUGUAGCUGCGACCAGCUGCUCACUAUCCCACACAUAUUGUGUGUUCUGUUUUGUGCAUAACAAGCCAAAGUAGCUUUGCGCAGAACUUAAGAGUAAAUGACUUUAAAAUUGUAAAAAUGUGCAAUGUUUUUGUACACCGCGCGCAAAAAAAGCAGAAAAUGGCGUGCAUUGUUUACAAAAAUAUAACGCGUAUUUCUUGAUUUCCUGUAUUCAAUCCAUCAAUGGAGCGCUUUAUGAGCUUGUAGCUACACUGUUGACAAAACCCUUCGGCCCUUAUCCACAAUCCAUUCAGUGGGUAUAUUCUGUUCAGAAAUCAGGUGUUUAGAAUUGUGUAUUCACUCUAUCCAAACUUGAAAUCUCCAGCGUGGGACAAGUGACAAGAUUAACCUUUUGCGAGGAAGAAAACAAAUACUAGUGGUAUUUUUGAUUGGACACUGUAACCUAAUACAUUUCAUACAGGGUUUUGUUACAAAGUAUCUAUGACGUGGAUUUUCAAUGUAGCCUAUGAUUUUUUGAAAUCUUCAAUAGUGUUUAGCUACUCUGUGACGCAUAUCAUAAUCUCAUUGUAAAUGUCAUGGCCUGUAACACUAAACUGUGUCCCUCAGGUGGUGGAGAAGCAUGGCCAGCACCAAGGUCACGUUGAAGAACCCAGGAGCUUCAGAGAAGCAACGUUUUGAUGGCUUUAUUGGAGGGUGCACUGGUCAGGGUUAGGCGCUGCUGUAAAGUGCCAGUCUUUAAGAUUAUAAUCUACAAGGAGGAUGAGCAGGUGAUUGGGUCAGUCAAGGACCUUGUUGUGCAGAGCGGAUGCAACUUUUCAAUAGCUGAGAUUCUUUGCAUGGAGAGUUUUAUACUAGAUGAGCUGAACUGGUACCUGUACGCCACGACACCAAUCGACUUCCUUUGCAUGUUCCAUGCCCUGUUGAUCUCUAGUCAUCCCCACCUUCCCACCAUGGGUGCUGAGACUCAGAAGAGGCCUUGCUUCCAGGUGGC